UCUAGGCCGUGCCCGCGGUGUCCCGCCAUAUCUCCUUCGGUUCUGCAGUCGUGUCUCCUCGUCGACGGCCUGCUUCCCUUCGGCGCUCCUCCUCCCCGUUCGGCGUCCCAUCUUCCCCCAAGGUGAGGCCGCGUCCUCCUCCUUCCUUCCUCCUCCGCGGUCCGGCUCGUUCCCGGCGUGGCGCGUGCCUCUCUNNNNNNNNNNNNNNNNNNNNNNNNNNNNNNNNNNNNNNNNNNNNNNNNNNNNNNNNNNNNNNNNNNNNNNNNNNNNNNNNNNNNNNNNNNNNNNNNNNNNNNNNNNNNNNNNNNNNCGCGCGUGCCUCUCUGUUCCCUAGCAGCGGUUUAGUAGGAUGCAGUAGCGCGGCUUGUUCUGCAGUGCAGAGUGUGUGCGUGCCAGCGCCGCGCAGAGGGGCUUCCUCCCCCUCGUGGUAGCUGCCAUGGCCAGGCUGGAUCCCUCGCCGUGUUGAGCCGUAUUGAGUCCCCAUCGCGUCUUCUCUGUUACCGGCGAGCAGCAGAUUUCGCAGGGCAUAGCAGUCAGUCGGGAGUGUUAGCUCACCUAGUUUCAGACUCUCUUCUCUGUCAGUAGACGAGUCAUAGCCGAGUGGUAACUAGCAUGGUGCGCCUGUAAGAGGGCGUGGGUUCGAGUCCCCCCCUCGGCGCCUUUUGUUCCUUGUUUUGAUUUAUUCCUGCAGGUGAUUACCUUGUCCUUUUUUCCUUCUCCUGUUAACAUCAGUAACAGCAGCGCAGUGGUAGAUGGUGUUUGUGUUAUCGUCAGGUGCAGGGUUCGAAUCCCAUGCGUUGCACCCCCUUUUUAUCUUGCUUGUUUUCCUUUCUGAUUUGCAGUAGGGCAGCACAACAGAGUUAACCUCUGUUUGGGUCCUUCUCUAUCGAGCCCAGGGGCAUAGCAGAGUGGUUGGGUGCAGUAGAGAGCAUCAGGAGGUUCAGGGUUCAAAUCCUGACCCCUCUUGCUAUUGUGUUCUGUCCUUGUUGUUUUUUUUUCCUUCUACUACAUUUUUUUUAAAACACCCUUCUUACUACUGCUGAUCUUGUGCCUACCAAAGGUGGCCAUGGAAUUAUGUAUUUUUUUUCUCCUUGCUGUCAUAGUUGUGCUAGGUGAUGUAGUGUGUGUGGUUGUGCUUGUGAAAGAUGUGCAUGUGAGUGUGUUUCCCUUGUGCUUGGAGUGGGCUCUUGCACCAUGUGGGGCUAGUAGAUUGUGAUGUGUGUGCAUUAGCUUGUGGUAGCUCUAGUAUAGAGAUGUGUGUGAGAGCCUCACCCAUGGCAAGGCUUGAAGAGCAUUGAUGUGCUCAUGAGUGGUAGUGUGUGGUGUUGUCGGAUUCAUUUAGGGAGUGUAGCUAUUGUAUGCUCUAACUAGUUCUAGUAGGACUAGAUUUGUGUCAUGUUAGAUAUGUGGGUGGUGUGGACCUCCCCACCUUUACAAGUGGUGCACCUCCUCAUGUUUCAUAUGAGAGAGGGCAUAUUGUGUGUGUGGGGUUGGCUCAUGUGUGUUGGGGUUGUUGGUGUGUAUGACACAAACAUGGGGUUCAAACCCCCAUGUCACUUUGUCAUUGUGCACAUGAAACCCUCCUAUGUAUUGUCCUCUUAGAAGAAUACCAUAUGGAUUUGCAUUUUUAUGUUGUUGAAAGUUUGGGCUUUGUUUCCAUGAUAUAGAUGGAGCCCAAAAGCAUGGAUCUUGGUAGGUUAGUUGUAGGGGUUUGUGCUCAAUACCAUAGUGGUGUCAAACACCUCUUGGGAACUUGUGUGUGCAAACUAUGCCUAGACAAAGUGGGCAUGUGGUUGGAAAAUUCCAGAUUUUUUGAACCCUGAAAAUUUCACUAAGUCUGGAAUGCUGAAAACAUUUUCUUCCCCUGUAGAUAAGGUUGUUCUGGUCAUUGUGGUGGAAACUGGACUUAGUGCACUGCUGGUGUUUUGAACCUGGUAUGUUUGUGAAGCUUCCUGUCAAUUUUCAAGUCAUUUGGUGUCCAGUAGCUUGUGUUUUGAUUGCUGUCAAAAAGCUUCAGAACAGAAACAGUAACUCAGGUGCAGGAAUUUUCACUAAGUCCCUGAGAACUGAUGGUUUUGGGAAAGUUUGUGGCCUUGUAUCUUCUAGAGUUUAAUUCCUUUUGCUGUGAUUCUUGCUGGAUAUGGUAGUGUUCUUGGUUGGCAACAGCCACAUAUAUUAUUUGUCAUGUUUGAAGACCUGUAGCUAUGUUGCAUGUUGCUCUCAAACAGCUAAAAUGCAGAAACUGGGCAGAUUGCGUAGUUUUGACAUUUUGUUCAAAGUUUGCGUUUAAUUGUUGUUGGAGUGUUCUACCUUGCUCCAUUUCAUUCAUGUUGGGUUCAUAUAUGUCUUGGCAACCUGGGAACACCAGAUUUGUGCCAAUUGUGUGUGUGGUGAUGAAUCUUUCACGUAGGGCUUCAUAUCGUGUUUCGUUGUUUCCCGUUGAUCCGUAGCUCCGUUUGCAAAGUUCUUUAUAUGGUUUUGCACCGUUUUUAAGAGAUGCAUCUGUUCAUUUCAUUACCAUGCAUGUACAAAUAGUUUAGUGCAAAGUUCUGUCCAGGAACUCGUUGUAGUUUAUCUUGCUUGUGCUAGUGUUAGAAAUAGUGGUGCAUGCUCAACUUUCAUCUCAUGCAUCAUGUGAUUGUUGCAUUUUGUGGAGCUGCUGUUCAUUGGCUGUUAUUCUUGUGUUGGGUAGCACCGGGAGCGGAGACCGAUUACGUGGAGUCAGGAGAGUACUUGCAGGACGAUCCAGAACCAUUCCAAGCUGAGGAUAUCAC
rnacentral:lncRNA from 1 species